rnacentral:misc_RNA from 1 species
GAUGAAGAACGUAGCGAAAUGCGAUAAGUAGUGUGAAUUGCAGAAUUCAGUGAAUCAUCGAAUCUUUGAACGCACAUUGCGCCCCUUGGUAUUCCAUGGGGCACGCCUGUUCGAGCGUCAUUUGUACCUUCAAGCUUUGCUUGGUGUUGGGUGUUUGUCUCGCCUUUGCGUGUAGACUCGCCUUAAAAUAAUUGGCAGCCGGCGUAUUGAUUUCGGAGCGCAGUACAUCUCGCGCUUUGCACUCAUAACGACAGCGUCCAAAAGUACAUUUUACACUCUUGACCUCGGAUCAGGUAGGGAUACCCGCUGAACUUAAGCAUAUCAAUAAGCGGAGGA